rnacentral:rRNA from 1 species
AGUUGGAAACGGCUGCUAAUACCGCAUAAGCGCACGAGAGGACAUCCUCUUGUGUGAAAAACUCCGGUGGUACAGGAUGGGCCCGCGUCUGAUUAGCUGGUUGGCAGGGUAACGGCCUACCAAGGCGACGAUCAGUAGCCGGUCUGAGAGGAUGAACGGCCACAUUGGAACUGAGACACGGUCCAAACUCCUACGGGAGGCAGCAGUGGGGAAUAUUGCACAAUGGGGGAAACCCUGAUGCAGCAACGCCGCGUGAGUGAAGAAGUAUUUCGGUAUGUAAAGCUCUAUCAGCAGGGAAGAUAAUGACGGUACCUGACUAAGAAGCUCCGGCUAAAUACGUGCCAGCAGCCGCGGUAAUACGUAUGGAGCAAGCGUUAUCCGGAUUUACUGGGUGUAAAGGGUGCGUAGGUGGCAGUGCAAGUCAGAUGUGAAAGGCCGGGGCUCAACCCCGGAGCUGCAUUUGAAACUGCAUAGCUAGAGUACAGGAGAGGCAGGCGGAAUUCCUAGUGUAGCGGUGAAAUGCGUAGAUAUUAGGAGG